AAUAUUGGUCAAUGGACGCAAGCCUGAUCCAGCCAUCCCGCGUGUAUGAUGAAGGCAUUCGGGUUGUAAAGUACUUUUGGCAGAGAAGAAAAGGUAUCCCCUAUUACGGGAUACUGCUGAUGGUAUCUGCAGAAUAAGCACCGGCUAACUACGUACCAGAAGCCGCGGUAAUACGUAGGGUGCAAGCGUUAAUCGGAAUUACUCGGCGUAAAGCGUGUGUAGGCGGUUCGGAAAGAAAGAUGUGAAAUCCCAGGGCUCAACCUUGGAACUGCAUUUUUAACUGCCGAGCUAGAGUAUGUCAGAGGGGGAUAGAAUUCCACGUGUAGCAGUGAAAUGCGUAGAUAUGUGGAGGAAUACCGAUGGCGAAGGCAGCCCCCUGGGAUAAUACUGACGCUCAGACACGAAAGCGUGGGGAGCAAACAGG
rnacentral:rRNA from 1 species